rnacentral:rRNA from 1 species
UACGAAGGGAGCUAGCGUUGUUCGGAAUCACUGGGCGUAAAGCGCACGUAGGCGGAUGUGUCAGUCAGGGGUGAAAUCCCGGAGCUCAACUUCGGAACUGCCUUUGAUACAGCACGUCUUGAGUCCGGAAGAGGUGGGUGGAAUUCCUAGUGUAGAGGUGAAAUUCGUAGAUAUUAGGAAGAACACCGGUGGCGAAGGCGGCAUCCUGGACCGGCAUUGACGCUGAGGCGCGAAAGCCAGGGGAGCAAACGGG